AUGAACGCUAGCUACAGGCUUAACACAUGCAAGUCGAGGGGCAGCAUGGUCUUAGCUUGCUAAGGCCGAUGGCGACCGGCGCACGGGUGAGUAACACGUAUCCAACCUGCCGUCUACUCUUGGGUAGCCUUCUGAAAGGAAGAUUAAUACAAGAUGGCAUCAUGAGUCCGCAUGUUCACAUGAUUAAAGGUAUUCCGGUAGACGAUGGGGAUGCGUUCCAUUAGAUAGUAGGCGGGGUAACGGCCCACCUAGUCUUCGAUGGAUAGGGGUUCUGAGAGGAAGGUCCCCCACAUUGGAACUGAGACACGGUCCAAACUCCUACGGGAGGCAGCAGUGAGGAAUAUUGGUCAAUGGGCGAGAGCCUGAACCAGCCAAGUAGCGUGAAGGAUGACUGCCCUAUGGGUUGUAAACUUCUUUUAUAAAGGAAUAAAGUCGGGUAUGGAUACCCGUUUGCAUGUACUUUAUGAAUAAGGAUCGGCUAACUCCGUGCCAGCAGCCGCGGUAAUACGGAGGAUCCGAGCGUUAUCCGGAUUUAUUGGGUUUAAAGGGAGCGUAGAUGGAUGUUUAAGUCAGUUGUGAAAGUUUGCGGCUCAACCGUAAAAUUGCAGUUGAUACUGGAUGUCUUGAGUGCAGUUGAGGCAGGCGGAAUUCGUGGUGUAGCGGUGAAAUGCUUAGAUAUCACGAAGAACUCCGAUUGCGAAGGCAGCCUGCUAAGCUGCAACUGACAUUGAGGCUCGAAAGUGUGGGUAUCAAACAGGAUUAGAUACCCUGGUAGUCCACACGGUAAACGAUGAAUACUCGCUGUUUGCGAUAUACUGCAAGCGGCCAAGCGAAAGCGUUAAGUAUUCCACCUGGGGAGUACGCCGGCAACGGUGAAACUCAAAGGAAUUGACGGGGGCCCGCACAAGCGGAGGAACAUGUGGUUUAAUUCGAUGAUACGCGAGGAACCUUACCCGGGCUUAAAUUGCAGAUGAAUUACGGUGAAAGCCGUAAGCCGCAAGGCAUCUGUGAAGGUGCUGCAUGGUUGUCGUCAGCUCGUGCCGUGAGGUGUCGGCUUAAGUGCCAUAACGAGCGCAACCCUUGUUGUCAGUUACUAACAGGUUCCGCUGAGGACUCUGACAAGACUGCCAUCGUAAGAUGUGAGGAAGGUGGGGAUGACGUCAAAUCAGCACGGCCCUUACGUCCGGGGCUACACACGUGUUACAAUGGGGGGUACAGAGGGCCGCUACCACGCGAGUGGAUGCCAAUCCCCAAAACCUCUCUCAGUUCGGACUGGAGUCUGCAACCCGACUCCACGAAGCUGGAUUCGCUAGUAAUCGCGCAUCAGCCACGGCGCGGUGAAUACGUUCCCGGGCCUUGUACACACCGCCCGUCAAGCCAUGGGAGCCGGGGGUACCUGAAGUGCGUAACCGCGAGGAGCGCCCUAGGGUAAAACUGGUGACUGGGGCU
rnacentral:rRNA from 1 species